GAUCAUGGCUCAGGAUGAACGCUAGCUACAGGCUUAACACAUGCAAGUCGAGGGGCAGCAUGGUCUUAGCUUGCUAAGGCUGAUGGCGACCGGCGCACGGGUGAGUAACACGUAUCCAACCUGCCGUCUACUCUUGGCCAGCCUUCUGAAAGGAAGAUUAAUCCAGGAUGGGAUCAUGAGUUCACAUGUCCGCAUGAUUAAAAGUGUUUACGUUUUCCGGUAGACGUAGGU
rnacentral:rRNA from 1 species